rnacentral:rRNA from 1 species
CGUGAGCAACCUGCCUUUCANAGGGGGAUAACAGUUGGAAACGACUGCUAAUACCGCAUAACGCUGCGAUGGGGCAUCCCGAUGCAGCCAAAGGAGCAAUCCGCUGAAAGAUGGGCUCGCGGCCGAUUAGCUAGUUGGUGGGGCAACGGCCCACCAAGGCGACGAUCGGUAGUCGGACUGAGAGGUUGAUCGGCCACAUUGGGACUGAGACACGGCCCAGACUCCUACGGGAGGCAGCAG